rnacentral:rRNA from 1 species
ACNUGCAGUCGAGCGGACAGAUGGGAGCUUGCUCCCUGAAGUCAGCGGCGGACGGGUGAGUAACACGUGGGCAACCUGCCUGUAAGACUGGGAUAACUCCGGGAAACCGGGGCUAAUACCGGAUAAUUCUUUCCCUCACAUGAGGGAAAGCUGAAAGAUGGUUUCGGCUAUCACUUACAGAUGGGCCCGCGGCGCAUUAGCUAGUUGGUGAGGUAACGGCUCACCAAGGCAACGAUGCGUAGCCGACCUGAGAGGGUGAUCGGCCACACUGGGACUGAGACACGGCCCAGACUCCUACGGGAGGCAGCAGUAGGGAAUCUUCCGCAAUGGACGAAAGUCUGACGGAGCAACGCCGCGUGAGUGAUGAAGGUUUUCGGAUCGUAAAACUCUGUUGUUAGGGAAGAACAAGUACCGGAGUAACUGCCGGUACCUUGACGGUACCUAACCAGAAAGCCACGGCUAACUACGUGCCAGCAGCCGCGGUAAUACGUAGGUGGCAAGCGUUGUCCGGAAUUAUUGGGCGUAAAGCGCGCGCAGGCGGUUCCUUAAGUCUGAUGUNANAGCCCCCGGCUCAACCGGGGAGGGUCAUUGNNAACUGNGGGAACUUGAGUGCANAANANAANAGUGNNAUUCCACGUGUANCGGUGAAAUGCGUANAGAUGUGGAGGAACACCA